GAAGACCGGAAUUGCUAGUAAUGGCAGGUCAGCAUACUGCCGUGAAUACGUUCCCGGGCCUUGUACACACCGCCCGUCACACCAUGAGAGUUGGGAAUACCCGAAGCCUGUGAGCUAACUUUUAGAGGCAGCAGUCGAAGGUAGAAUCAAUGAUUGGGGUGAAGUCGUAACAAGGUAAC
rnacentral:rRNA from 1 species